AACGAACGCUGGCGGCAUGCCUAACACAUGCAAGUCGAACGGAUGGUUUCGGCCAUCAGUGGCGCACGGGUGAGUAACGCGUGGGAAUCUGCCCGGCAGUGGGGGAUAACCUCUGGAAACGGAGGCUAAUACCGCAUACGCCCCUUCGGGGGAAAGGGCUUGCUGCUGUCGGAGGAGCCCGCGUCGGAUUAGGUAGUUGGUGGGGUAACGGCCUACCAAGCCUGUGAUCCGUAGCUGGUCUGAGAGGAUGAUCCGCCACACUGGAACUGAGACACGGUCCAGACUCCUACGGGAGGCAGCAGUGGGGAAUUUUGGACAAUGGGCGCAAGCCUGAUCCAGCCAUGCCGCGUGAGUGAAGAAGGCC
rnacentral:rRNA from 1 species